GACGAACCGUGCGAACGUUGUCCGGAAUCACUGGGCUUAAAGGGCGCGUAGGCGGGCUGCCAAGUCUGGGGUGAAAUCCCACGGCUCAACCGUGGAACGGCCUGGGAUACUGGCGGCCUCGAGGGAGGUAGGGGCAUGCGGAACUAUGGGUGGAGCGGUGAAAUGCGUUGAUAUCCAUAGGAACUCCGGUGGCGAAGGCGGCAUUCUGGACCGACAUUGACGCUGAGGAGCGAAAGCCAGGGGAGCAAACGGG
rnacentral:rRNA from 1 species